GAUGAACGCUGGCGGCGUGCCUAAUACAUGCAAGUCGAGCGAACAGAUGAGGAGCUUGCUCCUCUGACGUUAGCGGCGGACGGGUGAGUAACACGUGGAUAACCUACCUAUAAGACUGGGAUAACUUCGGGAAACCGGAGCUAAUACCGGAUAAUAUAUUGAACCGCAUGGUUCAAUAGUGAAAGACGGUUUUGCUUUCACUUAUAGAUGGAUCCGCGCCGCAUUAGCUAGUUGGUAAGGUAACGGCUUACCAAGGCAACGAUGCGUAGCCGACCUGAGAGGGUGAUCGGCCACACUGGAACUGAGACACGGUCCAGACUCCUACGGGAGGCAGCAGUAGGGAAUCUUCCGCAAUGGGCGAAAGCCUGACGGAGCAACGCCGCGUGAGUGAUGAAGGUCUUCGGAUCGUGAAACUCUGUUAUUAGGGAAGAACAAAUGUGUAAGUAACUAUGCACGUCUUGACGGUACCUAAUCAGAAAGCCACGGCUAACUACGUG
rnacentral:rRNA from 1 species